rnacentral:rRNA from 1 species
UACAGAGGUCUCAAGCGUUGUUCGGAUUCAUUGGGCGUAAAGGGUGCGUAGGCGGCGCGGUAAGUCGGGUGUGAAAUCUCGGAGCUUAACUCCGAAACUGCAUUCGAUACUGCCGUGCUCGAGGACUGGAGAGGAGACUGGAAUUUACGGUGUAGCGGUGAAAUGCGUAGAUAUCGUAAGGAAGACCAGUGGCGAAGGCGGGUCUCUGGACAGUUCCUGACGCUGAGGCACGAAGGCCAGGGGAGCAAAACGGG